rnacentral:SRP_RNA from 1 species
GCCGGGCAAGGUGGCGGGCGCCUGUAGUCCCAGCUACUCGGGAGGCUGAGGCAGGAGAAUGGCGUGAACCCGGGAGGCGGAGCUUACAGUGAGCUGAGAUCCGGCCACUGCACUCCAGCCUGGGCGACAGAGCGAGACUGCGUCUCAAAAAAAAAAAAAAAAAAAAAAAAAAAGAAAAGGAAUUAAAGGCCUCCAAAAGCAGAUUUUUAUUUUAUUUUUUUUAUUUUUGAGAUGGGGUCUCUGUUGCCAAGGCUGGAGUGCAGUGGCCGGAUCUCAGCUCACUGUAAGCUCCGCCUCCCGGGUUCAAGUGAUUCUCCUGCCUCAG